GACCUUGCGUCUACGGCCUGCGCGUUUCGCGCAAGGCUGAUGGCUGGUGGCUGGAGCCACCGGCCU
rnacentral:sRNA from 1 species